rnacentral:rRNA from 1 species
ACGAACGCUGGCGGCGUGCUUAACCCCUGCCAGUCGCACGGAAAGGCCCUGCUUUUGUGGGGUGCUCGAGUGGCGAACGGGUGAGUAACACGUGAGUAACCUGCCCUUGACUUUGGGAUAACUUCAGGAAACUGGGGCUAAUACCGGAUAGGAGCUCCUGCUGCAUGGUGGGGGUUGGAAAGUUUCGGCGGUUGGGGAUGGACUCGCGGCUUAUCAGCUUGUUGGUGGGGUAGUGGCUUACCAAGGCUUUGACGGGUAGCCGGCCUGAGAGGGUGGCCGGCCACAUUGGGACUGAGAUACGGCCCAGACUCCUACGGGAGGCAGCAGUGGGGAAUAUUGCACAAUGGGCGGAAGCCUGAUGCAGCAACGCCGCGUGCGGGAUGACGGCCUUCGGGUUGUAAACCGCUUUCGCCUGUGACGAAGCGUGAGUGACGGUAAUGGGUAAAGAAGCACCGGCUAACUACGUG